rnacentral:rRNA from 1 species
GACGAACGCUGGCGGCGUGCUUAACACAUGCAAGUCGAACGGUGAACGAGGGAGCUUGCUCCCUCCGGAUCAGUGGCGAACGGGUGAGUAACACGUGAGCAAUCUGCCCCGAACUCUGGGAUAAGCGUUGGAAACGACGUCUAAUACCGGAUACGACGCGGGAGGGCAUCCUCUCCGCGUGGAAAGAACUUCGGUUCGGGAUGAGCUCGCGGCCUAUCAGCUUGUUGGUGAGGUAACGGCUCACCAAGGCGACGACGGGUAGCCGGCCUGAGAGGGUGACCGGCCACACUGGGACUGAGACACGGCCCAGACCCCUACGGGGGGCAGCAGUGGGGAAUAUUGCACAAUGGGCGAAAGCCUGAUGCAGCAACGCCGGGGGGGGGACGACGGCCUUCGGGUUGUAAACCUCUUUUAGCAGGGAAGAAGCGAAAGUGACGGUACCUGCAGAAAAAGCACCGGCUAACUACGU